AACGAACGCUGGCGGCAGGCCUAACACAUGCAAGUCGAGCGCCCCGCAAGGGGAGCGGCGGACGGGUGAGUAACGCGUGGGAACGUACCCUUUGCUACGGAAUAGCCUCGGGAAACUGGGAGUAAUACCGUAUGUGCCCUUCGGGGGAAAGAUUUAUCGGCAAAGGAUCGGCCCGCGUUGGAUUAGGUAGUUGGUGGGGUAAUGGCCUACCAAGCCGACGAUCCAUAGCUGGUUUGAGAGGAUGAUCAGCAACACUGGGACUGAGACACGGCCCAGACUCCUACGGGAGGCAGCAGUGGGGAAUCUUAGACAAUGGGCGCAAGCCUGAUCUAGCCAUGCCGCGUGAGCGAUGAAGGCCUUAGGGUUGUAAAGCUCUUUCAGUGGGGAAGAUAAUGACUGUACCCACAGAAGAAGCCCCGGCUAACUCCGUGCCAGCAGCCGCAGUAAUAC
rnacentral:rRNA from 1 species